CAAGUCCCCGAGGAGCAGCUCCGAGGCCCGAGCGCGCGGCUGAGAGGCGCCGCCGCCGCCGCCGCCGCCGGGAUGCGCUCUGCCUAGCGAGACUGCCGAGAGACGCCUGAAGGCCACCGCGCCAAGGACACGCGGCCCGCCGCUCCUCGCGCGCCCGAGCCCGCACGCCGCCAGUGCCGGAGCCGCGGAGAGCGCGAGCGAAGGGCGGCAGGAGGGAGAGCGCGCGGGAGGCAGCCCCUCCUCAGCGAGCCAUGCGUGCCGCGAGCAGCUGAGGAGCCGCCAGGCGCCGCUGCCAAGUCUCCGCUCCGCUUUUGUCUUGCCCUCCAGUGAAUGGGAAGAUGGAGAUGGAUGUGGAGGGAGUUUCUCCGCGCCCGGAGCCCAUCCCCCGCUCCCAGGGGGCUGGCGGAGCCUGCCCGGCGCCGCCACCGCCGCCCCAGCCCCAGCCCCAGCCGCCGCCGCCGCCGCAGCAGCUGGCUCAGGAUGAACUGCCCGGCGAGAGUGCCGGCGCCGAGGACAGCGACGAUCCCGAGGCGAGAGCCAGCGGCGAGCGAGGAGAGGGCAAGUAUUUCAGUGACAGGAUCCGCUCGGGAGAAUUGGGGCCGGGCUGGAUAAGGUUCUCAAGGAGCUGA
rnacentral:lncRNA from 1 species